rnacentral:rRNA from 1 species
CCCUUAGAUGUUCUGGGCCGCACGCGCGCUACACUGAUGCAUUCAACAAGCCUAGCCUUGACCGAGAGGUCCGGGUAAUUUUUGAAACUGCAUCGUGAUGGGGCUAGAUUAUUGCAAUUAUUAAUCUUCAACGAGGAAUGCCUAGUAAGCGUGAUUCAUCAAAUCGCGUUGAUUACGUCCCUGCCCUUUGUACACACCGCCCGUCGCUCCUACCGAUUGAAUGUGUUGGUGAGGAGCUCGGAUUGGCAGCAGUUGGUGGUUCGCCACCGGCUAUUGCUGAGAAGUCCUCCAAACCGCCCCAUUUAGAGGAAGGAGAAGUCGUAACA